UACGGAGGGUGCAAGCGUUAAUCGGAAUUACUGGGCGUAAAGCGCACGCAGGUGGCUGAGUCAGUCGAUUGUGAAAGCCCUGGGCUUAACCUGGGAAUUGCAGUCGAUACUACUCAGCUAGAGUAUGGGAGAGGGUAGUGGAAUUCCCGGUGUAGCGGUGAAAUUCGUAGAUAUUGGGAAGAACACCAGUGGCGAAGGCGGCUCACUGGCCCGGUACUGACGCUGAGGUGCGAAAGCGUGGGGGAGCAAACAGG
rnacentral:rRNA from 1 species